GACGAACGCUGGCGGCGUGCUUAACACAUGCAAGUCGAACGGAAAGGCCCUGCUUUUGUGGGGUGCUCGAGUGGCGAACGGGUGAGUAACACGUGAGUAACCUGCCCUUGACUUUGGGAUAACUUCAGGAAACUGGGGCUAAUACCGGAUAGGAGCUACUGCUGCAUGGUGGGGGUUGGAAAGUUUCGGCGGUUGGGGCUGGACUCGCGGCUUAUCAGCUUGUUGGUGGGGUAGUGGCUUACCAAGGCUUUGACGGGUAGCCGGCCUGGGAGGGUGACCGGCCACAUUGGGACUGAGGUACGGCCCAGAAUCCUACGGGAGGCAGCGGUGGGGAAUAUUGCACAAUGGGCGGAAGCCUGAUGCAGCAACGCCGCGUGCGGGAUGACGGCCUUCGGGUUGUAAACCGCUUUCGCCUGUGACGAAGCGUGAGUGACGGUAAUGGGUAAAGAAGCACCGGCUAACUACGUG
rnacentral:rRNA from 1 species